UUUUUUUUUUUUUUUUUUUUUACAGUGUGCUUCAGGUACCUAGGAUUUCCAAAUUUCCUACCAGAACUUCCUCUGCACAGGGCUCUUUGACUCACCUCUUCUGUCUUCUUGACAGCUGAUGUGCUGCUGAUAUGCUCACUGCCAGGACUGAUGGCUGGUCAAGGGCCAGGUGUUGUGGGCAGGCUUGAGGGCAGAACUGAGGUGUUCACAUGUGUGUGAAUGAGGCUCCUGUGGGGUGGGACAGAGCCAGGGGUGUGAGGAGAAGGACCAGCGGACAUAGUCGAUAGGCCACAGACAGUGGCCAGCCUGGAUCUCCUUGGGCCUUCACAUUUUGUUGAGGAACUCCAAGUUGCCUGACAGUUCUUAAUUCUAACCUAGACUCCCAGAUCAUCAACAAAGGCCAUUUAUCAAGGUGGACGUGGAGAGGAUAUUUUAUUUAACAGUUUGUUAGUUUGAUUUAUAACUUUUAAAUAUUUAGAUAUAUUUAGCCAUAUGUACACAUGGCUUCCAUGUGUACAUUUGCCCCAGGCUGGCCUGCUGUACUUAAAAUGUAUUUUCCUUCUAGUUGUUUAGACUAUAAUAAUUUUUUCCCAUCUUGUGAUAUGUGGAUUUGCUUAAAGGAGGAGACUCCUGGAUGUGAAAGCAAGAUGGGGUAUUUAUAAAUAAUCAGAGAAUCUUGAUGCUGCUAAGCUAAUUGUAUUUUUAAAUAAUUUAUUAAGACCCUCACAUAUAAGAUACAUUAAAAGUACAAAGUAUAAUCAUUGGUAAAUAUUCUAUUAAAUGAAUCAAGAGAGUCUACAAAAUGAAUACUUAUAUAAAUUAUAGGUUAUAUAAAUAUGAGAAACCUUUAAUAAAGUACUAAGUGAAAAAAUAAGUUACAUAAUAGUGUGCAGAGUAAAAUGGUACUUUUACUUUUAAAAAUAUUUAUCAUAAGAAAAAAUGGAAAGGGACACUAAAAUGUUAAAAGUCUUUGAAUGGAAUUCCUGAUUAUUUUAUAUUUAAUAUCUUUUGAACUCCUGUUUAUUGAUCAUAUAGCUUUUGUAAAAUAAAAUUAAAAUAAUUAUACAGGAGGAAAAUACUCAAAAGCCAAGGUAGUAAAAGACAUUGUUGUUGUUGUUUUUCCCUGUGGAUUAUAUAGCAAUAAAAUGGUUAUGUUUUGUGCUAUGUUCCACUCAAGGAGAUUUUUUUACAGGGCCAUAUCUGUAGGGCCUGGAAGGUUUCUGCUGAGUUUACAUAGUGUAUGUAAACAUACAUUUCAAUUUUAAUUUAAUUAAAAUUUAAUUUAAUUUUAAUUUCAAUUUUACAGAAGGUCAAAGGAUCAAGUCAAUACACAUUGAUGCAAUCAAGGAACCUUUUCGCUUUAUCUGGACCUCCUGUGUUGGGGUUUUUGUCAUCUUCUUUUAAAUAUAAAGAAGUUAAAGGACUCAGAAUUUCACAUAUCAUAAAAGAGCAUCAAGUUUUCCAAUAUAUUUAAUUUAUUUUGUAGUCAUUUAAAUGUUGGAGCAUAUUCAGAUUGGCAUUCUUUUUUGUAAUUGUCACACAGAUUUUCCUGAAACUUGAACAAAGGUUAUAAAUAUUUGAUUUGCUGAGACUGUUCUAUAGUUCAUAGACUCACUAACCUUUGCAUGAGUAGUUAUCAUAAACAGAUUGUUCAUCAGUUUUGUGUUGUUGUUGUUGAGGAUGAAAUGCUUAGAUUUUAAAUUUCUUUACUAAUUCUAUCAACUCCUAAUAGAGUUCAAGUGAUUUUAUAACUUGGUGACAUCUUCAGCCAUUGCAUUUUAUUGGCUAAAGAAUUUUCUGCAACUAGGAUUUUUUAAUGAACGUAAAAGCUUUGGUUCCAAAGAAUACCUAAAAAAUUAUUGAGCCAGAUGCUCUCCUCUUAGAGAGACCCUCAAUCUCAAUCUGGCUGACACAUGGGAGAGCCAAUUAACUAGUUAAUUAGUUAGUUGAUUUAUUAAUGUUGAUCAUUAAAAAAAAAAGGUUUCUCAACUUCCUGAAUAUUGCAGUAUUUAAAACUCUCAGUACUUUCUUUUGAAGCAAAAAGCUCUUGGUGAGUAUAUUUUAUGUUCCUAUUACUAUGCAGGCUGGAGGAGUUAGGAAAACUAGAAGCUAAAGGUAGCAGGACUUAUAAGGAGAAAUGGGGUCAUGGCAUGUGUCAUGGGCUGAUCUUGGGUUUUGGAAUCAGGCAGACCUAGGUUUGAAUUCUGGUUCUGCUACUUACUGGCUUGAUUGUGUGACUACAGACAGUUUUUUUUUUUAGUUGUCAAAAGCUUUACUGAAAAGCUUAAUAAAAUCCACCUCCCAGACUAGGAGUGAACAUAAUGCAUAUGGGUAUCUGGCACAUGGUUGAGGGAAGCCAGGUAAGAGGAACACAGAGAGAAAUGGCACAAAAGCAGUCAGGGGGAGGGAAGGGAAGGAGGAAAGAUAUGGUGGCUGAAAAUGGACAGCAAACACUUCCCAGUGGGGUUUCAAAGGCUCUUUGUAUUCUAAAGACCUUUAUUUAAAUAACCUUUAAUUUUUCUUUUUUGAGAUUACUAGUCCUUGGUCUUUAGUGUUUCCUUGCAGUCUCCACUUUCAACCACUAAUCAUCAUGGUUUUCCUCUGUAGUUUUAUCCUUCUCUCUCUGGGUAUGGAUACUGGGGGUGUGAACA
rnacentral:lncRNA from 1 species